rnacentral:rRNA from 1 species
AGCGAACGCUGGCGGCAGGCUUAACACAUGCAAGUCGAACGGGCAUCUUCGGAUGUCAGUGGCAGACGGGUGAGUAACACGUGGGAACGUACCCUUCGGUUCGGAAUAACUCAGGGAAACUUGAGCUAAUACCGGAUACGCCCUUUUGGGGAAAGGUUUACUGCCGAAGGAUCGGCCCGCGUCUGAUUAGCUUGUUGGUGGGGUAACGGCCUACCAAGGCGACGAUCAGUAGCUGGUCUGAGAGGAUGAUCAGCCACACUGGGACUGAGACACGGCCCAGACUCCUACGGGAGGCAGCAGUGGGGAAUAUUGGACAAUGGGCGCAAGUCUGAUCCAGCCAUGCCGCGUGAGUGAUGAAGGCCUUAGGGUUGUAAAGCUCUUUUGUCCGGGACGAUAAUGACGGUACCGGAAGAAUAAGCCCCGGCUAACUUCGUG